GAGAGUUUGAUCCUGGCUCAGGAUGAACGCUAGCGGGAGGCCUAACACAUGCAAGCCGAGCGGUAUUUGUUCUUCGGAACAGAGAGAGCGGCGCACGGGUGCGGAACACGUGUGCAACCUGCCUUUAUCUGGGGGAUAGCCUUUCGAAAGGAAGAUUAAUACCCCAUAAUAUAUUGAGUGGCAUCAUUUGAUAUUGAAAACUCCGGUGGAUAGAGAUGGGCACGCGCAAGAUUAGAUAGUUGGUGAGGUAACGGCUCACCAAGUCAAUGAUCUUUAGGGGGCCUGAGAGGGUGAUCCCCCACACUGGUACUGAGACACGGACCAGACUCCUACGGGAGGCAGCAGUGAGGAAUAUUGGACAAUGGGUUAGCGCCUGAUCCAGCCAUCCCGCGUGAAGGACGACGGCCCUAUGGGUUGUAAACUUCUUUUGUAUAGGGAUAAACCUACUCUCGUGAGAGUAGCUGAAGGUACUAUACGAAUAAGCACCGGCUAACUCCGUG
rnacentral:rRNA from 1 species